UAUGGCCAUAUGAAAUUGAAACACUAGUUCUUAUACAAUCACUGAAGUUAAGCAAUAUCGAGCCUGGUCAGUACCUAGAUGGGUGACUGCUUGGAAAUACUGGGUGCUGUAU